CAAAAAGACCCUAUGAAGCUUUAUAAUUAUCAUUACUAUGACUAAAUGGUUUAAAAUUAUUUUUUUGGGGUAAAAAAUAAUUAUAUUAUUAUAAAGAUUAAAGUUUGACUAUCCACAUAUGAAUGAAUAAUAAGCUCCUCUAGGGAUAACAGCAUAAUCUUAGCU
rnacentral:rRNA from 1 species